GACGAGCGCUGGCGGCGUGCUUAACACAUGCAAGUCGAACGGAAAGGCCCUGCUUUUGUGGGGUGCUCGAGUGGCGAACGGGUGAGUAACACGUGAGUAACCUGCCCUUGACUUUGGGAUAACUUCAGGAAACUGGGGCUAAUACCGGAUAGGAGCUCCUGCUGCAUGGUGGGGGGUGGAAAGUUUCGGCGGUUGGGGAUGGACUCGCGGCUUAUCAGCUUGUUGGUGGGGUAGUGGCUUACCAAGGCUUUGACGGGUAGCCGGCCUGAGAGGGUGACCGGCCACAUUGGGACUGAGAUACGGCCCAGACUCCUACGGGAGGCAGCAGUGGGGAAUAUUGCACAAUGGGCGGAAGCCUGAUGCAGCAACGCCGCGUGCGGGAUGACGGCCUUCGGGUUGUAAACCGCUUUCGCCUGUGACGAAGCGUGAGUGACGGUAAUGGGUAAAGAAGCACCGGCUAACUACGUG
rnacentral:rRNA from 1 species